GGAGGGGUACCGAAGUGGCUAUAACGGCUCCGACUCGAAAUCGGAUGGGGGCAUACCGUCCCACGCGGGUUCAAAUCCCGCCUCCUCCG
rnacentral:tRNA from 1 species